rnacentral:lncRNA from 1 species
UUCCCAAGUCAGAGGGAGAAUAGACACUGCAUGUAAAGUUUAUUUAUUUAUUUUGUGGUGGGGAGGGGUAGAGGGAGAGAGAGAGAUUCCCAAGCAAGCUCCUUGCUGACAGCACAAAGCCCCAUGCAAGGCUCGAAUUCAUGAACCGAGAGAUCAUUACCCGAACCCAUACCUGAACCCAAACCAAGAGUUGGACGCUUAACCGACUGAGCCAGCCAGGUGCCCAACACUGCGUGUAAAAACCACCCCACACAGGGGAGAGGCUGCCCAGAGCCCUGGAGUCAAACUUGGAUUCAAAUCCUGGCUCUACUACUUCUUUAUUAACUGCAAGAUCUAGGGCAAAUUACUUAGCCUUGUUGUAAGGCCAGUUUCUCACCUGUAAUUGAGAAUAAUGGUAGUAGAAAAGUGUAAGCAGCACUUAGCAUGGCACACAUAGGAAACAUCAACACAUUUUAUCUAUCGUCAUCACUUCUAUUACCGUUACAGCAGGAUUCCAUCCUUUUAACAAUCACGCAUGCGUAGCUCACAUUCCCACCCAGACACGGAGAUCAGGGAGCAGCAGCAUGGCAAUGGAAGAAAAUGCCUGUUUUCACUUUUAUGUACUUUCAAGUUUCGUUAGCAAGCACCAGUGACUAGAAUAACACGGAAACCUUAACGAAGAGGAGAAGGAGUAGGAGAAGUUUUAAAACAAACGGAGCUCACCCACAUCGCACAGUACCGGCUCCAGGCCUCAAAGGGCGGUGCCAGGGUACGGGCGCGCGCCUGCGCGAAAACAGGCGAUGGCGCUAGGGAAUCCCGAGAGGCCCGACCAAUCAGAAGGCGUUCCAAUCUGACUCCUAGAUCCUUGGCUGUCUGCUGUGAGAAGAGCCCAAGGACGCUCCAACUGCACGCACUUAACACAGGACACCAUGAGAGAAAAGACGGGAAGAGGAAAAGCGCAGGGAGGGACAUAUGGCCUAGAUUCUACCCAGGCAAGAAUUCUGCGGCCACUAGUGGCUCCAGGAACCACGCGGACUUGUGUUCUCAGCUCCUAAAUCCCCCAAGCCAUUUGAGAUUCUAUUUGUUCUUGAAUGUACCUCCUCUUUUGUAAUGAGCUUUAAAAGUUUGCUCGGUGACAUCGCACCUCUUCCUCCUCACCUGAGAUUUAUCCAUUCAUCCGUUCAUUCACUAAUCAGCUAUGAGGUACCUAUGACGCCAGGCAGUCAGGAUAGGGGCUGAGGAACAUAGAUGAAGAAGUCAAAUUUCUUUCCCUCCAGGAGGUCACUUUCUACUGAGAAGGGCGACAUUCAAGUCAAAGGAAGUGCAUUUGAGAUAGAAGAAUGUACUGGGUACCAGGAGGCCCAAAGAAG